CGGAUGGGAUAUAACCGCGCGGGCAUUCUCUGAUGAAAGAGCAUAUCCGUGAGGCAAAGUCCGGGCUCCGCCGGAAAAAAUGCCGGGUAAUCACCGGGCGGAUGCGGGAACUGCAGAAGUGCAAAGCCCGCCUCCGACAGACAGUGCAGCAGAAAAUAUACCGCCCGUUGUAAAACGGGUAAGGGUGAAAAGGCGGUGUAAGAGACCGCCGCGCAUCCGGCAACGGGUGCGGCAGUGCAAACCUCAUUUGGAGCAAAACCAAGCGGCAGCGGGUUUCCGGACCGUAACUGCAGGUAGGUUGCUUGAAGCGCAGGGUAAUCUGCGUUCGAGACAGAUGGUUAUGUCGGCGUAUCGUCGAUACCAGAACCCGGCUUACCGUCCCAUCCGUUUU
rfam:Treponema socranskii subsp. socranskii VPI DR56BR1116 = ATCC 35536 strain VPI DR56BR1116 ctg120007787826, whole genome shotgun sequence.